rnacentral:lncRNA from 1 species
CUCCUUUGGUGUGUUGAUCCUAUUAGUAUUCAGGCUGGCAGUGAGCAAUGGCAAUUGCAUCCAGCAUUCCAGAGCCUGGGACAGGUGGAGGAGCAAGAGGUCUUCCUCAGCCCACUUCGCACUGUCGGCCUCUGCCCGACAUCGCAAGGGAGAAAUUCAGAAACAAGAAGUAGCUUUCUUUGACAUUGAGAUGGUCACUCCUGAGAAAGG